rnacentral:rRNA from 1 species
GACGAACGCUGGCGGCGUGCCUAAUACAUGCAAGUAGAACGCUGAAGGAGGAGCUUGCUUCUCUGGAUGAGUUGCGAACGGGUGAGUAACGCGUAGGUAACCUGCCUGGUAGCGGGGGAUAACUAUUGGAAACGAUAGCUAAUACCGCAUAAUAGCAGUUAUUGCAUGAUAACUGUUUGAAAGGUGCAAUUGCUCCACUACCAGAUGGACCUGCGUUGUAUUAGCUAGUUGGUGGGGUAACGGCUCACCAAGGCGACGAUACAUAGCCGACCUGAGAGGGUGAUCGGCCACACUGGGACUGAGACACGGCCCAGACUCCUACGGGAGGGAGCAGUAGGGGAUCUUAGGCAAUGGACGGAAGUCUGACCGAGAAACGCCGCGUGAGUGAAGAAGGUUUUCGGAUCGUAAAGCUCUGUUGUAAGAGAAGAAGGAGUGUGAGAGUGGAAAGUUCACACUGUGACGGUAUCUUACCAGAAAGAGACGGCUAACUACGUG